CCCUGCGUGGUGCACACUGUUAAUGUGCUUGGCUGCUGACCAAAAGGUUGGUGGUUCAAGUCCACCUGGAGGCA
rnacentral:tRNA from 1 species